UACGUAGGCGGCAAGCGUUGUCCGGAUUUACUGGGCGUAAAGGAUGCGUAGGCGGACAUUUAAGUCAGAUGUGAAAUACCCGAGCUUAACUUGGGUGCUGCAUUUGAAACUGGGUGUCUAGAGUGCAGGAGAGGUAAGUGGAAUUCCUAGUGUAGCGGUGAAAUGCGUAGAGAUUAGGAAGAACACCAGUGGCGAAGGCGACUUACUGGACUGUAACUGACGCUGAGGCAUGAAAGCGUGGGGAGCAAACAGG
rnacentral:rRNA from 1 species